CCUCCUCUCUCAAUCUUUGACCAGAUGGGAGAAACCAAUCUCUAAAGAGCUUCCCCGGCCGAGCGGGCUGCCCGAGCUCGCCGUGGUCGCCGGCCCCUUUCCCCCUUCCUCUAUCUACUAUUUCUCGCAAGUUCCUAGCACCCCCGUCUCCGAUGAUCCUCCGGCCGUCCCUCUAGAACACGUGCUGUUAUGUUCCAGGCUCGACCUUGCCGACGAGAAUACCAGCGAUGGGAGCAGCACACAGAGAGGACCGGCGCUCCGCCGAGUUCCCGAAGCUGGCCAUGCCAUCGCGCGGCGAUCUGGCUGCCACACGAUCUCGGGAGGGACUUGGGGCGGCGUCACCGUCAUCGGGAUGGAGGCGAGACGGUGGGCUGGGAGCGGCGAGGAGGAGACACCCGCGUCGACCACGCCUCCGAAAGCCAACCGCGGCGAGCGUCGGUGCAGAUGUAGGUUUCCUAACUGCUCCCUCCUCUACCUCUGCUCUGCCUCUCCCACCUCACCUCAUCUCUAUCUCAAUGAGCAAAGUGACGGGCACACCGGUGGAUGUCGACCUUCGCCGGCGUGUGCUCGGCUGACAACUACGGGCAACAACACACGGCAAAAGGAGUGGCGGGGGCCGGGUGAGAAUCGCCCUUGCUAUGUUUCACGCAGUCGUCAGUUGUGUUUCAGAAGUUGUUGUUCACGGGCCAUAUCACACAGGAGUCCAACAUCUUGAAUUAGAGGUGCGAGUCUAGGACAAGGAGAUUGAUUUUGCCCGAUUUACUGGCCAUGUUUCCGCCUCUAUUUUCUAUCUAGAUCAAGCAAUGAAGCAAUUGAUAUCUGUGUGAGCCCAGUUGGAGUUUAUUUUUGGUAUUUCUCUCUGAAUGCCUUUUUUGGAAAGCCAUGAGAUGUAUGGUAUUGUUUCUUUCUGGUCAUAAAAUAGGUUUCUCCAGUUUAGUUAUUCUAGCUUUUCUUAUACUCCGUGGUUAGGUGAAUCGGGCAAGAAAUGAGUAUAAAAAAGAAGUGGUUGCAUCUUUGUGAAUUGCCACUAGAUGUCCGUGGUAUGUAUUCUUGUGUAGUUUUUGCUGCACAGUUUCUUCUCGGUUCAUACCUAUAUGAUGUUGGACAUGGGCUACUUGACGAUGUUAGGUGCAGAAACCGUGUUAGGAUCGAAUCUGACAUUAUUUCUUGGGAUGAAUGCAGAUAAUCUUUCUUUGAGUUAUGCAAUAUAUCUAUAACCCUGUAUGAACAAGAUAAUUCUUAUGUUUUCACAUUAGUGCAUAUUAAUUCUCAAUUUCCUGUAGAACACGUCUUACUAUACAUUUUGAUUACUUACCUUUCCACGAGUUCUAUUUGCAAGAGCAUGACUGAGAUAUGUAGUUCUUACAGAUAUUAGCCAGCCCAUUGGAGAGUGAUUCCGAUUGAUAAGAUGACCAUAGUGCCUUCAAACUUAUCUGAUUUUAGUUAAGUAGAUUAGAUUUGUCCAACGAAGCUGAAUAGAAAGCUCUGCAACUAAAUGUUCAAGUGUUGAUCAUUGAUAUAUGUUGUAUAAGAAAACAUGGAUGCACAUCUUCUUUUCUUUUGCAUGAUUCAUGUUUUUACAGCUCCAUAUGUGUGAGUUGUCGCGCAAGAGAGGCUUUAUAUAUUAAAGUGAAGACAGCCUACCAACAUCAUGGGUUGAUUAUUUUGAUCACCAGUAGUAAGGAACCCUGCAGCUCCUCACCUGGACGGUGUUCCCAAACCGUACCGGUGGUCUCCUAUCCGAAAUGAGGCCCGCCGACUAGCAGUUUUGGCGUCUGCUCUGGAUCAGAGAGCAUGGCGUUGCCUGAAAGCCCCCCGAACAACUACCAUACAGUGAGUGUUCAAGUCAGCAGGGCAGAGCGCUAAAUUCCGUGGAAGCGGCGAGCUGGUAUCUGGUUCGGCUUUUCUCAUUCUGUUUUAGUACGCAUGUAAUAGUUGCAGUGCAGCAUAUAUAUAUGUAGAAAUAGAAAUAGUGAAAUGCUACAUAAAUGCGUUUGACGAGGGGCCCUCUCAAGUUUCGUUAUUUCUAUGAUGCUUACAACUAUCCUACAAAUAUAAUUUGCACAAACAUCAUCAAAAAGAGAAGUUAAUGAAGAAACCAAUGAACUACAUUCAUGUUUCAUUUUCCAUUGGGUAGGGGGAAAGCAAGAUGUGAUAAUAAUAUUUUUGAAUUACAUAUUUGAGCCAAGAAAUUUAUAACAUGCAGUAAAAUAAUCAAAAUUAGUAAGAUGCACUUGAUAGCAUGCCCAUAGUCAAAUGUAAAAAAGUAAGAAUAAAAGAAAGGGGCAAAUUUUGCCUUCAGCCUGAGCAUCCUGAAAUAGAUGCCAUAAAGGGCAUCAUUUUUCAAGAAACAUGCACUGAUCUGUAUUCUCAAUCAACUGAUUGACUGAAAGAGUAGCAUUUCAAAGCUCAAGCAUAGUACCAGAUACUUUUGAUGAGAGGAAAACAGAGAAAGUUAGCAUCAUAUAGAUGCAGCCUGUGGGUACUCCUCCCUGAUUUUCGAUGUCACCAGUCCAGCACCAACAGUGGCACACUUGGAAACCUGAAAACACAAGAUAUUGAAAAUUAUGCCUGCCAUCCCAAGUCUUAAAUCCUCUCCCAAUUGAAUUUUAUGCAAACACAUGAAAAAUGAUUUGAUUUUACAUGUUAUAAUUGUAUUGUCUCGAUUGAUAUAAAUUUGUUAAUCUGCAAUCUUACACUGUACCUAUUAGAGCACAAAAAUAUGAGUUGUAUAUUUAGAAUCUGGUGGACUACGACCAUAAAUGUGAUUAUUUUGUAUGUUCUUAUGACUUCUGACUGGCUAUUUUAGGUACUUGAGUGACUGCCCAACAGUAACGAGAUUGUUCCAUUGCAAGGGAAUUUUUGCUACAACUAAUGUUGACACGACAUGCUUUGCAGAUUGGAAGAUGGGAACUAUUGUUAAUUGGCCAACAGUAUUGUAACUUUUAAACCCCACCUACUGUUAAUUGCAGCUUUUGGAAAGGAAAGGAAAAUAGGACGCAAAUAGUGCCGUAGCAUAUAUCUUAUGGUAGGUGAUCCAGUCUACAUAUCUUCAUUUGAUUAACAUGAAAUCUGUGGUAUGAACUGGGUGAAACAGAAGUUUAUUGUUGCUUUUCUCUAAAUUUUUGUGGCUCUAUAUAUUGUCCCUAAACUAAGUUGAUAGGCCAAUUUCUGCUAAGCUACAGUGGAACAUUACUCUUUUGUGUUAUCAAUCUGUAUAUGUUUUCUCAGUAUGGAAACAAAAGACUAUCACUGAAAGAUCUAGAGAGAUCUUCAGAGAGAAUACAAAUGAGAAGGAGAUAAAAAUUGCAUGAUCAGGAGACAUUCUAUAUACCUAUUCUAAAAUUAAAGAUGGCAUAUUAUUGGUUCUUUGUCUCGAUGUAUUUUUUUUGGCAUCUUUCAAUGGAAGUGCUUCCCAACUCAAUUUGUGUUUGGUUCUCUGUCUGAAGGACUUUUCGGUUCUCUGUUUUGAUGCAACCUCCACUUUUCACAGCCCGGAAAACAAUAAAUAGUAGUUUUAUCUCUGCUUUGCUCAUGUUGCAGUGUUGCAUUAUUCUUACCACAAACUGUCCUUUUUUUUGGAAAUUGUACAACUGAAUUGCUGUCUCAUUCUCAUCCAUAUUGGCAGACCUAUUGGAGCAUUGUUAAAUGGAUAUCAGUAGCAAACCAUGAGCUCAAUAAUUGUUUGAUGAAGUAUUCCUGAACUGGACAUAACUCUUUAUAUUGUUGGUCAUAUGUGGAAACAAAGGAGCAGGCCAUAAGCACUUAAGUUUCUUUUGAAGGUGUAACAUUGUUGAUAUUACCAUUAAUAUAAACUAAAUGUCAUGAUUUGUAUCUUCUUUGGAGGGGAACUGUUCC